AGGCAGCAGUGGGGGAAUAUUGCACAAUGGGCGCAAGCCUGAUGCAGCCAUGCCGCGUGUGUGAAGAAGGGUUUCGGCUCGUAAAGCUCUGUUGUUAAAGAAGAACACGUAUGGGAGUAACUGUUCAUACGUUGACGGUAUUUAACCAGAAAGUCACGGCUAACUACGUGCCAGCAGCCGCGGUAAUACGUAGGUGGCAAGCGUUAUCCGGAUUUAUUGGGCGUAAAGAGAGUGCAGGCGGUUUUCUAAGUCUGAUGUGAAAGCCUUCGGCUUAACCGGAGAAGUGCAUCGGAAACUGGAUAACUUGAGUGCAGAAGAGGGUAGUGGAACUCCAUGUGUAGCGGUGGAAUGCGUAGAUAUAUGGAAGAACACCAGUGGCGAAGGCGGCUACCUGGUCUGCAACUGACGCUGAGACUCGAAAGCAUGGGUAGCGAACAGGAUUAGAUACCCUGGUAG
rnacentral:rRNA from 1 species